rnacentral:rRNA from 1 species
GACGAACGCUGGCGGCGUGCCUAAUACAUGCAAGUUGAGCGCUGAAGGUUGGUACUUGUACCAACUGGAUGAGCAGCGAACGGGUGAGUAACGCGUGGGGAAUCUGCCUUUGAGCGGGGGACAACAUUUGGAAACGAAUGCUAAUACCGCAUAAAAACUUUAAACACAAGUUUUAAGUUUGAAAGAUGCAAUUGCAUCACUCAAAGAUGAUCCCGCGUUGUAUUAGCUAGUUGGUGAGGUAAAGGCUCACCAAGGCGAUGAUACAUAGCCGACCUGAGAGGGGGAUCGGCCACAUUGGGACCGAGACACGGCCCAAACUCCUACGGGAGGCAGCAGUAGGGAAUCUUCGGCAAUGGACGAAAGUCUGGCCGGGCAACGCCGCGUGAGUGAAGAAGGUUUUCGGGUCGUAAAACUCUGUUGGUAGGGAAGAACGUUGGUGGGAGUGGAAAGCUCAUCAAGUGACGGUAACUACCCAGAAAGGGACGGCUAACUACGUG